rnacentral:misc_RNA from 1 species
UCUCCGUAGGUGAACCUGCGGAGGGAUCAUUACUGAGUGAGGGUCUCCGGGCCCGACCUCCAACCCUUUUGUGAACCACCUCGUUGCUUCGGGGGCGACCCUGCCGUUCCGGCACCGGCGCCCCCGGAGGACUUCCAACCCUGCAUCAUUGCGUCGGAGUAUUUUUUGUAAAUCUAAACAAAACUUUCAACAACGGAUCUCUUGGUUCUGGCAUCGAUGAAGAACGCAGC